GAUGAACGCUGGCGGCGUGCCUAAUACAUGCAAGUCGAGCGAACAGACGAGGAGCUUGCUCCUCUGACGUUAGCGGCGGACGGGUGAGUAACACGUGGAUAACCUACCUAUAAGACUGGGAUAACUUCGGGAAACCGGAGCUAAUACCGGAUAAUAUAUUGAACCGCAUGGUUCAAUAGUGAAAGACGGUUUUGCUGUCACUUAUAGAUGGAUCCGCGCCGCAUUAGCUAGUUGGUAAGGUAACGGCUUACCAAGGCAACGAUGCGUAGCCGACCUGAGAGGGGGGUGGGCCACAGGGGAAGGGACACGGGGACAAGCCCCCUGGGGGAGGAGACAGAGGGGAAUCUCCCGAAUGGGGGGAAGACCUAGCGGAGCACCGCGGCGUGAGUAAGAAAUGUUUUGGUCUCGAAAACCUGUUUUAUGGGGAAAAAAAAAAUGUGAAAUAAAAUAGGCCGUUCUUGACGGUACCUAAUAAAAAAGCCCCGGCAAACUCCGUC
rnacentral:rRNA from 1 species